AUGGACGAUGAGAGGACGGAGGCGUGGUGGGCCCGCCGCGCGUGGGCGCUGCUGUCGGCCGUCCGCGAGCGGUCACCGCUGGUGCAGCGCAUCACCAACCUCGUCUCCAUGGACAUCGCCGCCAACGCGCUCACCGCCGCCGGCGCCUCCCCGGCCAUGCUCCACUGCCUCCGCGAGAUCCCCGAUUUCACCCCGCGCUGCGACGCAGUCUACAUCAACGUCGGCACACUCUCGGAGGACUGGCUCCCCUCCAUGCGCGCCGCCGCCUCCGCCGGCCGCCCCUGGGUGCUCGACCCCGUCGCGGCCGCCGCCUCCGGCUUCCGGAUGGAGUCCUGCCUCGAGCUCCUCGUGCUCCGCCCCGCCGUCGUCAGGGGCAACGCGUCGGAGAUCCUCGCCCUCGCCGUCGGAAACCCUAGCCCGCCGCCGGGGCUCCCUCCCCCUUUUCCUCUCCCUCGUCGCCGCCGGAGGGGGUCGCCGGAGCGCCGCGCGGCCGCCGGGGAUGGUGGCGGCGAGGAUCUGGGCGUGGACAGUUCACAUGACUCAGGGGAGGCCCUGCAAGCCGCGAAAGUGUUGGCACAGUCCAGCGGGGCAGUCAUUGCGGUAUCUGGAGCACUUGAUUUCAUCACGGAUGGUGAGCAGGUCAUCAGUGCUAGCAAUGCUGUGGCAAUGAUGCAGAAGAUCACGGCAACAGGGUGUGCUGUGACUGCUCUUAUAGCGGCUUUUGUCGGGGCGGAUCCUUCCGAUGCUCUAGACGCAGCAGCAUGUGCGCUCGCCAUCUUUGGACUUGCUGGAGAGAUUGGGAUGGAGUCGGCUAAAGGGCCUGCCUCUCUCAGGAUGCACCUCAUCGAUGCUCUCUACGGGCUCGACGAGCAGACAGUCACAUCAGGGGUCAAAAUUGCCCUAGUGCUGUAA
rnacentral:rRNA from 1 species